CGACGCCCUUGUGUCUUCACAUAGCAACUUUUCGCUUCUCAAAAAGAAGCAAGACGUUGGGCUGCAACACCAGGAAGUGUCAAGAUGGAAAAUGUCGUGUAGAUUCUUUCUCAUCCAGGUCCCUCUCUAUCUCCCCACACAUCCACCAACCACUGGAACACAUCUCCAAAGUUCUGCCAGGCCAGCUCAGCUUCCCCUCAGAAGAAGUGGUGCCACCUGCCAGAUGAAGGAGCCUUUUGAGAGGCAGCUGGCAUCGUGAUUGGACUGUACUUUGGUCUGUUCCAAUCCAGCUUCAGCUCCAGAGACGGCAGGCGGGACGAGUCAACGGAGGCCGGGUGGACGAAGGCAUGCAGCUGAGUACAAUCCAGAAAACAACUGAGGAGGAGUGCAGCAACCCAGGGCCAGAACAACCAGAGUAGCAUCGUAUGUCUCUUAGAAAAUAUCAUAGUAUAG
ensembl:lncRNA